UACGUAGGGUGCGAGCGUUGUCCGGAAUUAUUGGGCGUAAAGAGCUUGUAGGCGGUUUGUCGCGUCUGCUGUGAAAUUUCGGGGCUCAACCCCGAACUUGCAGUGGGUACGGGCAGACUAGAGUGUGGUAGGGGAGACUGGAAUUCCUGGUGUAGCGGUGAGAUGCGCAGAUAUCAGGAGGAACACCGAUGGCGAAGGCAGGUCUCUGGGCCACUACUGACGCUGAGAAGCGAAAGCAUGGGGAGCGAACAGG
rnacentral:rRNA from 1 species